AAGUCGUAACAACGUAGGUGAACCUGCGGAAGGAUCAUUAACAAGUAUCCAACGUUAAACCUCCCUGUGACUUGCUCUCGAAAUUUUGAUUCAGGGACCUCGAGCGUUGCAGUGGCACUAGAGGCCGACACUAUUCACACUACCUUUAAGCCGCCUCGUAGGGAUCAAAACGAACAACUGUUAACAAUGGAUAUCUUGGUUCUC
rnacentral:misc_RNA from 1 species